AUGUAAUGUGCUUGCUUUUAUACUAAAACUGGAAUGAUUCAGAGAAAAUUAGCAGGGCCCUGAGCUAGGAUGAUAUGUAAAUUAAUAGAACGUCCCAUGUUUUA
ensembl:snRNA U6 U6 spliceosomal RNA